UACUCCAGUCUUCUACUUCAA
rnacentral:piRNA from 1 species